CGGAAGCCUAGACUGCGCAUCCUGCGAGGCGCUAGCGGCGGCGUGGUCAGAGUGGGCUUUGGAGAAGCCGUGGUGGCUUCCAUGUGGUGGUGGAGGAGGAUUCAGGUCUCAGCGGUUCGUCUGAAGUGCUCUAAAUGACACUGUUUCAUUAUUUUGAUGGCCAAGAAUAUUCCCUCAUGUAUGUAUACAAGAGUUUCUUGAUCCCUUUAUCUGUGGAUGAACAGGUCAUUUGCCAUGAUGUCCUCCAGGUUCAAGAGUAUGACUCCAAAUGAUGAAAUUUCAUUCUGCUUUUCUGGCUGAAGACUAUUUGUGUACAUCCACCACAGUUACUUUAUCCCUUCACCUGUGGAUGGGCAGGAUUGCUUUAGAAAUUCAGGGUGUUAAGAUGGCCGAAUAGGAACAGCUCCAGUCUCCAACUCCCAGCGCGAGCGACACAGAAGACCAGUGAUUUCUGCAUUUUCAACUGAGGUUUUUCCACAUGGCUGCAAAUGGCUAGAUUUCACUCGUUUCUAUGGUUGAAGAAUAUUCUGUUCUGGAUGUAUACUGCAGUUUCCUCAUCCCUUCAUCAAUGGAUGAACAGGGUUCCGUCAUGAUUUGUUGCAGCGUUCCUCACACGGGGUACCACCUGCUGGGUCUGACUUGCAGACCCUGGCCCAGUGAUGGAAGAAAAAGGUACACAGACACGGAUUUUUUGUCUGGGCCUGAAGCUAGAGGACCGGGCUGCUCACAGACAAAGAGGAUAUCGUAAAGAGUCACAGCAGCUACAGCCCCAACAAGCUUGUGCUGCGGGCGUUUAUUUACUACAGAUUUAAUGAUAAAGGCUUUGAAUCACCACAACUUGUGGGACAACCAAGUCCCUACAUGUCUCCUCUGGACACCAUGGGUUAAACCUUCCAAGAUGAAACAACAAUCAUUAAAUCCUCCUCACCAUGACAGGAAGCAAGGAGGAAGGACCCUGAAGACCCUCGAUGUCCCUUCUCAGCAGCAAGCAGCUUCAGAGAAUGACCUCUGUCCCAUCUCCCAAAAGAUUUCUGAGCCCCAACUCCUUGAGGGAGAAAUGUAAGAGUAGACAGUCAAUAUGAGCAGGCAUGAAGGGGGGUAUCCAUGUUGGAAAGAAUGCCCAGGAACACCUUUUAGGAUACCCAGCACUCACUCCAUGGUCGAAUUGUCAGAAUGUUGUUAACUAGAUGAUGAUAAGGAAGGAAAAAGGCAAAAGAGGAAUUCCUGAGAGCUGAGCAGGCACAAUUAGUACAAAAUUCAUGGCUAUACCUUCUGGGGUGGCAGUAAUAAGCAGUGCCACCAUUAGAUAGGAUUCAUAUUGAUCACUGGAUCCAGUGCAUGUGCAUUAAACACAGUAAGGGAGGAUCCCCCAAACUUUGGUGAGAACUGGGUAAAAAAAGAACCGAGACAAUAGAAGAUCACAAUGCAGAAUGUCUUGGGGGUGUUUCUAGCAGGGUCAGCCCACUCCUCUCUUGGAGUGUUCUUGUAUUUCUCCAAUUAAACUUUUGCU